AGUGAACGCUGGCGGUAGGCCUAACACAUGCAAGUCGAACGGCAGCACAGUAAGAGCUUGCUCUUACGGGUGGCGAGUGGCGGACGGGUGAGGAAUACAUCGGAAUCUACUUUUUCGUGGGGGAUAACGUAGGGAAACUUACGCUAAUACCGCAUACGACCUACGGGUGAAAGCAGGGGAUCUUCGGACCUUGCGCGAUUGAAUGAGCCGAUGUCGGAUUAGCUAGUUGGCGGGGUAAAGGCCCACCAAGGCGACGAUCCGUAGCUGGUCUGAGAGGAUGAUCGGCCACACUGGAACUGAGACACGGACCAGACUCCUACGGGAGGCAGCAGUGGGGAAUAUAGGACAAUGGGCGCAAGCCUGAUCCAGCCAUACCGCGUGGGUGAAGAAGGCCUUCGGGUUGUAAAGCCCUUUUGUUGGGAAAGAAAAGCAGCAGGUUAAUACCCCGCUGUUCUGACGGUACCCAAAGAAUAAGCACCGGCUAACUUCGUG
rnacentral:rRNA from 1 species